rnacentral:lncRNA from 1 species
AGGAAAGAAUGUAAACAAUAAGAUGAUAUGAUAUUUUCUUCUGGUAAUAGAAGAAAAAAAGACAAAAAUUAAAAGCAAAAAAGAGAUUGAUAAAAAAAAAAGAGACCCAGAAGAGGAGUGAAAAGAUGGAGAAAGAUGGAUAGUCAUCGAAAAGACAGCAACUCUUCAAUGUUUUUGGAGAAAACCUACUCCUAAGGCUCAUCCAAACCAACCUUUGCCGGCUUCACUACUUGGUAUGCCAUCUUCUCAAUGAUCCUUUUGCUGCUGCUUACCCAAGGAUGAGGAGGCCGCAAGAUGGUAUUGCAGCGACCUGGGGCUCUGUUUCUUUCUUUUGUGGAAAACAGUACUAGGGUUAAUGAAGUGAAUGUUUAAUAAACUUUUCUAUUAUUUUGUUUUGACUCCUAAAUAUUUUAAACAACAUAUAAUUACUCCUAUAAGUUUUUCUAGAUUUUCAAUUGUAGCUUCAAUUUCUU